rnacentral:rRNA from 1 species
CUACGGGAGGCAGCAGUGGGGAAUUUUGGGCAACGAUGNAAACCCUAAUCCANCCAUGCCGCGUCAGUGAAGAAGCCCUUCGGUUUGUAAAGCUCUUUCAGCCGGAACGAAUCGGUCACGGCUAAUACC